rnacentral:lncRNA from 1 species
GGCUUGGGGCUUGUCACCAUCCCAAAAGGUAAACCUGAGACUUUGAGGGAGAGGGACGUAACCCUUCAUGAUGAACAUAUAGCUCAUAUGAUGAAACAAAUGGCCGACAUCUAAAGUGAGAUUGAUCGACUUUGGAACCUCACUAAACUGUCUAUUACCAUGAAUACUCCACUUCCUGAACAUGGAACAAAUACCGCUAUUCCAUCUUCUUUUCCACCUAUUUAUUCUCCCG